CCAAAGGCUCUUUUCAGAGCCACCUACACCAUCAAGAAAGGGUUUU
rfam:Erinaceus europaeus unplaced genomic scaffold scaffold00776, whole genome shotgun sequence